AUUGAACGCUGGCGGCAGGCCUAACACAUGCAAGUCGAGCGGAUGAAGGGAGCUUGCUCCUGGAUUCAGCGGCGGACGGGUGAGUAAUGCCUAGGAAUCUGCCUGGUAGUGGGGGAUAACGUCCGGAAACGGGCGCUAAUACCGCAUACGUCCUGAGGGAGAAAGUGGGGGAUCUUCGGACCUCACGCUAUCAGAUGAGCCUAGGUCGGAUUAGCUAGUUGGUGGGGUAAAGGCCUACCAAGGCGACGAUCCGUAACUGGUCUGAGAGGAUGAUCAGUCACACUGGAACUGAGACACGGUCCAGACUCCUACGGGAGGCAGCAGUGGGGAAUAUUGGACAAUGGGCGAAAGCCUGAUCCAGCCAUGCCGCGUGUGUGAAGAAGGUCUUCGGAUUGUAAAGCACUUUUAGUUGGGAGGAAGAGCAGUAAGUUAAUACCUUGCUGUUUUGACGUUACCAACAGAAUAAGCACCGGCUAACUACGUG
rnacentral:rRNA from 1 species